rnacentral:rRNA from 1 species
UAGGGAAUCUUCGGCAAUGGGGCAACCCUGACCGAGCAACGCCGCGUGAGUGAAGAAGGUUUUCGGAUCGUAAAGCUCUGUUGUAAGUCAAGAACGAGUGUGAGAGUGGAAAGUUCACACUGUGACGGUAGCUUACCAGAAAGGGACGGCUAACUACGUGCCAGCAGCCGCGGUAAUACGUAGGUCCCGAGCGUUGUCCGGAUUUAUUGGGCGUAAAGCGAGCGCAGGCGGUUUGAUAAGUCUGAAGUUAAAGGCUGUGGCUCAACCAUAGUUCGCUUUGGAAACUGUCAAACUUGAGUGCAGAAGGGGAGAGUGGAAUUCCAUGUGUAGCGGCGAAAUGCGUAGAUAUAUGGAGGAACACCGGUGGCGAAAGCGGCUCUCUGGUCUGUAACUGACGCUGAGGCUCGAAAGCGUGGGGAGCGAACAGGAUUAGAUACCCUGGUAGUCCACGCCGUAAACGAUGAGUGCUAGGUGUUGGAUCCUUUCCGGGAUUCAGUGCCGCAGCUAACGCAUUAAGCACUCCGCCUGGGGAGUACGACCGCAAGGUUG